GAAAACGUUUUGUUUCAGCCAUGCCUAAAGCCUGGCAUCAUUUGAGUUGGCAAAAGCAUCUCUUCCUGAAAGAAGAGAGCAUCCAGGAGUAAAGCUAGAAACUUAUUCCAAAGGCCUCUUCUCAGCACGGUGGCACUCAGGAACUCUGGGGAGAGCUGCUUUCACGCCAUACUCAAGCGCUUGAUGAGGAGGAGAGAAUGAAGCUAGGAGUUUUGAAUGUGUUUUUGAGCAGAGGUUAAGAGUCAGUGGUUUUGAUUUUAGUCCCAAUGGAUUCCUGUUAAAUUAUUCUUCCUAUGACAGAUGACUCCGAAGCAGGUUCUGAAAGUUCCUUUAAAAACCUUCAUUACUAUUUUAAGGACAAUUAUCAGUCAACACUUGGAAUUUC
rnacentral:lncRNA from 1 species